rnacentral:ncRNA from 1 species
GCAGGUGCUCAUAGAGCUUAAUAGGGAAUCCGGUGAAAAGCCGGAGCGGUCCCGCCACUGUAGGGUGGAGCCUUGCGCAUUGUGUCACUGGGGUAGAUAUGCGUACCCUGGGAAGGCGUGCAAGACGAUGAAACCGAGCCAGGAGAACUGCCUGUUUUA